CCACGGGUGGCAGCAGUGAGGAAUAUUGGUCAAUGGGCGGAAGUCUGAACCAGCCAAGUAGCGUGCGGGAUGAAGGCCCUACGGGUCGUAAACCGCUUUUUCACGGGGAUAACACCCUCCACUUGUGGAGGUCUUCAGGUACCGUUCGAAUAAGGGCCGGCUAAUUCCGGGCCAGCAGCCGCGGUAAUACGGAAGGCCCGAGCGUUAUCCGGAUUCAUUGGGCUUAAAGGGAGCGUAGGCGGGCGUUCAAGUCAGCUGUAAAAUCGCGCGGCUCAACCGCGCCCCGCAGUUGAAACUGGACGCCUUGAGUUCACAACAGGCAGGCGGAAUUCGUGGUGUAGCGGUGAAAUGCAUAGAUAUCACGAGGAACCCCGAUUGCGAAGGCAGCCUGCCGGGGUGCGACUGACGCUGAGGCUCGAAGGUGCGGGUAUCAAACAGGAUUAGAUACCCCAGUAGUC
rnacentral:rRNA from 1 species